rnacentral:rRNA from 1 species
UACGUAGGGAGCAAGCGUUGUCCGGAAUCAUUGGGCGUAAAGCGCGCGUAGGUGGCCCUGUAAGUCCGUUGUGAAAGUCAAAGGCUCAACCUUUGAAAGCCGAUGGAUACUGCAGGGCUAGAGUACGGAAGAGGCGAGUGGAAUUCCUGGUGUAGCGGUGGAAUGCGCAGAUAUCAGGAGGAACACCAAUAGCGAAGGCAGCUCGCUGGGACGUUACUGACACUGAGGCGCGAAAGCGUGGGAGCGAACAGG